rnacentral:rRNA from 1 species
GUAAGGAAUAUUGGACAAUGGGGGGAACCCUGAUCCAGCCAUGCCGCGUGUGUGAAGAAGGCCUUUUGGUUGUAAAGCACUUUAAGCGAGGAGGAGGCUACCGAGAUUAAUACUCUUGGAUAGUGGACGUUACUCGCAGAAUAAGCACCGGCUAACUCUGUGCCAGCAGCCGCGGUAAUACAGAGGGUGCAAGCGUUAAUCGGAUUUACUGGGCGUAAAGCGCGCGGAGGUGGACAAUUAAGUCAAAUGUGAAAUCCCCGAGCUUAACUUGGGAAUUGCAUUCGAUACUGGUUGGCUAGAGUAUGGGAGAGGAUGGUAGAAUUCCAGGUGUAGCGGUGAAAUGCGUAGAGAUCUGGAGGAAUACCGAUGGCGAAGGCAGCCAUCUGGCCUAAUACUGACACUGAGGUGCGAAAGCAUGGGGAGCAAACAGGAUUAGAUACCCCAGUAGUCC